CUCUUAUCAAGAGUGGCGGAGGGACUGGCCCGAUGAUGCCCGGCAACCGAGCUUAGAACUUAUAAGCUAAGGUGCUAAUUCCUGCAGAACGAUUUUCGUUUUGGAAGAUAAGAG
rnacentral:ncRNA from 15 species